GACGAACGCUGGCGGCGUGCCUAAUACAUGCAAGUUGAGCGCUGAAGGUUGGUACUUGUACCGACUGGAUGAGCAGCGAACGGGUGAGUAACGCGUGGGGAAUCUGCCUUUGAGCGGGGGACAACAUUUGGAAACGAAUGCUAAUACCGCAUAAAAACUUUAAACACAAGUUUUAAGUUUGAAAGAUGCAAUUGCAUCACUCAAAGAUGAUCCCGCGUUGUAUUAGCUAGUUGGUGAGGUAAAGGCUCACCAAGGCGAUGAUACAUAGCCGACCUGAGAGGGUGAUCGGCCACAUUGGGACUGAGACACGGCCCAAACUCCUACGGGAGGCAGCAGUAGGGAAUCUUCGGCAAUGGACGAAAGUCUGACCGAGCAACGCCGCGUGAGUGAAGAAGGUUUUCGGAUCGUAAAACUCUGUUGGUAGAGAAGACCGUUGGUGAGAGUGGAAAGCUCAUCAAGUGACGGUAACUACCCAGAAAGGGACGGCUAACUACGUG
rnacentral:rRNA from 1 species